GCAAAUAUGUAGGUUGUAUAAAAUUUGUCUUAUAUUAUUUACAUCUAACUUUCAGGGAUUCUUGGGUCGUGCUCUUUAUCCAGUUUUACAGAUGAAAAGAGUAACGCAAGGAAUUGUGAACCUAGGAUGUUGGAGCUUCAUGUAGUAGCGACGCAUCGCCUGAACUCUGACCUCUUCACAACCUAUGUUCAGACUGGUCAUCUGCUUUAGUAUGCCUGAACUCUAGAGAUUGAAUUUUCUAUUCAUUGUACCUCUCCAACAUGGGAGUGAUCAUCAAGCCUUUUAAGAGAAAAGUGGUGAACAUCAGGAGAGGUACCUAGUUCCAUGCUGAAAUGGCCCAUAGUUUUCUGUGCGUUUUGCUUUACUUUUCAUUUGUUUUAUUUCAUUCUCUAAGCACCCACAAGCACUGAAGCAUAUUUUCCCUACUAUUAUAAAGAAAUUUCCCCUAAUAUUAUGGUUUUUAAUAUAAUUUUCACGCUAUGUAUUUUUCAUCCACACUCCCCCCUAAUAUACUCAUUUCUGAACACAGUAUUUAGUUGGAGAAUGGCUUUGCAAAAUUUGGAGAAGCACAAAUUUCAAAG